rnacentral:rRNA from 1 species
CCUUUAGAUGUUCUGGGCAGCACGCGCGCUACAAUGGUCUUCGCAAACGGAUGCAUUCUCGAAGGAGAAUGCCAAUCUUGGAAUCUAUGCCUUGGUCGGGACAGUUGCUUGCAAUUUUUCGACUCGAACCAGGAAUUCCUUGUAAUCGUGAUUCAUCACAUCACGAUGAAUACGUCCCUGCCCUUUGUACACACCGCCCGUCGCUCCUACCGAUCGAAGAGUUAGGUGAAUUGUUUUGAUCGAUAAGAUUUGACUAUGGUCAACUCUCGUUGUGAAAUUCUGUGAAUCUGACUGUUUAGAGGAAGGAAAAGUCGUAACA